rnacentral:lncRNA from 1 species
CCAGCUGCUGCCUGAGGAACAGAAGUCCAAUAUGCAGUAAGGUUUGCACAGUCCUCAUCUAUCCGUCUCUGCCCUACCAGUCCAAGAGAGCAUCCUGAUUUUCUGAGAGUG